CGCCUCUUGAUUAAAUAUAAGAGGUCCAGCCUGCCCACUGACAUAGUUUAACGGCCGCGGUACCCUAACCGUGCGAAGGUAGCAUAAUCACUUGUUCUUUAAAUAAGGACUUGUAUCAACGGCAUCACGAGGACUGUACUGUCUCCUUUCUCCAAUCAGUGAAACUGAUCUCCCCGUGAAGAAGCGGGGAUUAACCUAUAAGACGAGAAGACCCCAUGGAGCUUAAAGCCCAUAAACACCUCUACGCACUUAAGUCAACUUAGCCUAAGAGACCUGUCAACCGGCUUUAGGUUGGGGGGACCGCGGAGAAAAACUUAACCUCCACGACAAACGGGCAAACGCCCUUAUCCAUGAAUUACAAUUCUAAGAAUCAAUAAACUGAUGUUUAAUGACCCGAUUUAUUCGAUCAACGAACCAAGUUACCCUGGGGAUAACAGCGCAAUCUACUUUAAGAGCCCAUAUCGACAAGUAGGUUUACGACCUCGAUGUUGGAUCAGGGUAUCCUAGUGGUGCAGCCGCUACUAAAGGUUCGUUUGUUCAACGAUUAAAACCCU
rnacentral:rRNA from 1 species